UAAGUUACUAAGGGCACACGGGGGAUGCCUUGGCUCUCAGAGGCGAAGAAAGACGUGAUAAGCUGCGAUAAGGUUCGGGGAGGAGCAAAUAUCUUUUGAUCCGGACAUUUCUGAAUGGGGAAACCCGGCUGGUUGAAGACCAGUCAUCCGAAAGGAGGCAAACCCGCUGAACUGAAACAUCUAAGUAGGCGGAGGAAGAGAAAACAAUAGUGAUUUCCGUAGUAGCGGCGAGCGAAGUGGAAAUAGCCCAAACCGGUUUUGUUUCGGCAAAAUCGGGGUUGUAGGACUACAAUGUCCGUAAGCAAGUAUAGCAGAACAUUCUGGAAAGUUUGGCGAUAUAGGUGACAGCCCUGUAUGCGAAAUGCUUGUGAAGGUAGUAGUAUCCUGAGUAGGGCGGGACAUGUGAA
rnacentral:rRNA from 1 species